rnacentral:rRNA from 1 species
UACGUAGGGGGCGAGCGUUUGUCCGGAAUCAUUGGGCGUAAAGCGCGUGUAGGCGGCCGGAAAGUCUGGUGUGAAAUCUUGAGGCUCAACCUUAAGCUGUCACUGGAUACUGUCGGGCUUGAGUCCGGAAGAGGAGAGUGGAAUUCCUGGUGUAGCGGUGAAAUGCGCAGAUAUCAGGAGGAACACCGGUGGCGAAGGCGGGUCUCUGGGCCGUAACUGACGCUGAGGAGCGAAAGGCGUGGGGAGCGAACAGG